rnacentral:rRNA from 1 species
UACGGAGGAUCCGAGCGUUAUCCGGAUUUAUUGGGUUUAAAGGGUGCGCAGGCGGGAGAUUAAGUCGGCGGUGAAAUUUUGCAGCUUAACUGUAAAAGUGCCUUCGAAACUGGUUUCCUUGAGUGUAGAUGAAGUAGGCGGAAUUUGUGGUGUAGCGGUGAAAUGCAUAGAUAUCACGAGGAACUCCGAUUGCGCAGGCAGCUUACUAAACUACUACUGACGCUCAGGCACGAAGGCGUGGGGAGUCAAACAGGAUUAGAUACCCGCGUAGUCCCU